rnacentral:rRNA from 1 species
UUCUAUGGCCAUGCCACCCUGAAUAAGCCCGAUCCCGUCUGAUCUCAGAAGCUAAGCAGGGUCGGGCCUGCUUAGUACUUGGAUGGGAGACCAUCUAGGAAGACCAGGUGCUGUAGGCG